UACGUAGGGAGCAAGCGUUGUUCGGAUUCAUUGGGCGUAAAGCGCACGUAGGCGGUUCGUUAAGUCGGAUGUGAAAGCCCUCGGCUCAACUGAGGAAGUGCACCCGAAACUGGCGAGCUUGAGUACGAAAGAGGAUCGCGGAAUUCCCGGUGUAGAGGUGAAAUUCGUAGAUAUCGGGAGGAACACCGGUGGCGAAGGCGGCCACCUGGGCCGACCCUGACGCUGAGGCGCGAAGGCGUGGGGAGCGAACGGG
rnacentral:rRNA from 1 species